CAGGAUGUGUGAUGUGUGGGAACCGAGAAUAAAAAGAGAAAUGAAAGUAGAGGGGGGAGUAUACAGUACACACACACACACACACACCGUCUACACGGCUACAGCGACAGGUUAAAAGGUCAGACUUUAAGGUGUAAAGAUGGCCAGUGCUCCAGUACCGCUCACUAACGUGGGAAGCGGCUACACCAUCGUCACUCAGGUUAUUCCCGCAUCUACAGUCCUGAAUACAGAGGGACAAAAUUCACCUCAGAUACGCAACCCACUGCAGAAGUUCCUGAAAGGAGAACCCAAAGCUCUGGGAGCUGUCCAAAUAAUUAACGGUAUAUGGAUGAUGGCGAUCGGUGUGUUCGCGCUAAUUGGAUACUCUUUCUGGGGCCAAGUGCUCCACAUCAUAGCUGGUUCUCUGACAGUUUCAGCGAGCAGAAAAAUGAAUCCCUGUGCGGUGAAGGCUGCUUUGGUUAUGAAUAUCUUCAGUGCCAUAGCUGCUGGAAUCAGCAUCAUCCUCCUCUUCAUGCAGCUGAUCUUGGGGUACAGGUGGAUGGAAUAUAGAUACAUUCCAUGGACCAUCACAGGAAUCACUAGCAUGUGUCUGAUUUUCUCUAUGCUCCAGUUUGCAAUCUCCAUCUCCAUCUCAGUUUUUGCCUGUAAAGCCACACGCUCGGGUGAACCUACUAUGAACGUCAUCAACAUGGUUCCAAAUCCUGAGGGAUAUAUUCCUGUGCCGAAUUCCUUCCCCGCUAACCCGUGGACACAAAAACAAAACAAAAACAAAACCAAAAAAAUCACCUGGGUUCUGGUCACCGACAGCCACAGUCAAAUGUUCUAACAGAGGCACCAGCGACUUCCUGUCAGUGAAGAGCAGUGAAGCUGCAGCAGUGCAGAAAAAGCUUUUCAUUACCAGGUCAGCUGUGAAAAAGCUCUUUCUUGCUUCAGAUCUGCAUCACGUGCACUCUGCCUGGUAAAAAUAAUCACUUAAUAAGUGUUGAGGAUGCAGAAGAUAGGGUUAGGUGGAGAGAGAUGAUUCGCUGUGGCCAACCCUGAAGGGAAAAGCCGAAAGAAGAAGAAGAAGAGAGGGUGAACAUGGCAAGAUCUUCAGAUUUCCAAAAUAUCUGUCCAAAAUUAGGCAGUAAACAUUUCUUGGAUUUAAUAUUAGGGUAUGAAGCUUAUUAAGGUAAGUGCCAUUCCAGUGAUGCACAUCACCUUCAUGAUUAGAGUUUAGAUUUCUGUUUUAUAGCAGCACUUUCAUAUUCGAAAAAUGAAUAUAAGAUGAUUGAUCAGAAUUCCAGCUUGUGUUUCUUGAUACUUACAUAUUGAUUUGUUAAAAAACAUGAAAAUGGCUUGCUUUUCUCCCACAGCUGCCUGGUCUUCAUGUUGGUUCAGACCAAAGCUAAAUCUGAAUAUCUCUACUACGAUUCUAUACAGUGGGCGAAAAGUAGUUGUAUGUCAGAAUUGCCAUUGUUCAUAAAACAGUGAAUACCCGGAUGACCUACUGCAGCAUUGGGACUGGCGCAGAACAGCUGUCAGAAUCAAACCUUGGAGAAAGGCAACAUGUACUCGUUUAACAGCAAGAGCAAACUGUUAAAUGUUUAAACAAGAAAAACAGGUUUUGGAGUUUUGCGGCAUCGUAGUAGGUCACAUGACAAUGCCAACAUGGCGGCUGUAGUAUAUCUGGAUUGUAUUCCUACUACACGCCUAUACUGAUCAGUGUGUGGCAUAUCGAUGGCUGAGCAGUAGGUACUGACUUGACAUGGACAACAGGCAGUGACCUGACCCAAUACUUUUUGAAAUGUGUGGGUUCAAACAAAAGGUGCCAUGUUCUAAGUUGUUUAACAAAUUUUCAGAUAUCAGAAAAUGAUUUGUUGCAAAACAAAACAAAACAAAAAACCUGGCCUUUGUGCUCCAAAACCUUUGGAGUUUGUACAGUUAACUUAAUAUCAGUGUUCAUGUUAAUUUUAUUUUUUUGUCUUUUUGUUCUGCAGACUGUCCAGAUAAUGAUUGGAAGUGUUUUGUUCACCUUUGGUAUCGUUUUAAAGAAUGUUAUGAACGGUGUGACUGCUGACAGUCGCGUCACGUACUGGGGAGCUUUUUGCUUUGUCAGUGCUGGUGGUCUGGCAAUAACUUCUGUGGACUACUACAGACCCUCUGUGGUGAAAGCCUCACUGGUUAUGAACGUGGUCAGUGUGCUGGCUGCAGUUGUGGCUGUUGUCGUAUUUUCCGUUGAUUUGAGAAACUGCCAAGUUGAACUGUGUAGUCCAUGCUUUUAUGAACUGUCAAUGUAUUACUGUCAACUGGAACUGGUGUGUAUCUCACACUCACUCUAUUCUUCUCACUGACACUUAUUACUCGCAGCACUUACAGCGCAUACUCUCAUAGAAAUAAUGACAAAUAUGAUAAACUGAAUAUACAGAUAAACAAUUAUAUAUAAAUCCAUCCUGAAUGAUGGAAUGAUAAAAAUGGAAAUAAAAAUCCAUCCUGAAUGAUAAAAACUAACAAUAAUAUUAAUAUGAAAAUCACUAAAGUGAAUGAGAAAAACAAAGCUUGUUUGUAAGAGCAUUAAUAAGAGCAGUAUUGUUUUUUCCCUCAGAAAGGAAUAUUGGGAUCAACUGGUGUGCUCCUGGUUUUUGUUCUUUUCGAGGUGUUCAUAUCCAUCAAGAUGUUUUUACUGAACUGGAAAGCCAGAGGCUCACCUCAAAUCGUGUCUUUGACAAACGAUCGUCCAGUCAACAAUCCCCCUGAGGAAAAUUCCAACUCACCAUAAUUCACCUUUAGAAGUCUAGUAACUUUGUCAGAAAACUUGUAUUGACCUGAAGACACAGCCGUAAUUGUGAGCUGUUUACAUUUUUAUGAUGAUAUUGUAGUGUACUUUUUACAGCAUCUUUUUUCACUUAUGUAUCGGAUUGCAUUGUAUUUCUUUAAUAAAAUGAAUUGUAUGUAUAACACCACAUAAAGUGUUGAAUCAUUUUCUAUAAUCAGCUCUGGCAGUAGCACGGGUGUGUGCUAAUCUCUAAUUAACCAAGCAGGAGGGUUCGACCGUUUACAUUUCAUCUUUUCAGCAUUUAUCAUCUCAACAGCAGGGAAUUAAAAAUAAAAUCAAUGCAAUAAACUCAAAUAUAUUGGUCAGUAUGCUAUAUGGGCUGUUUAACAUUUUUUAACAUUUGUUUUUUUGCAAAUUUACAUCAAACUUAAAAAGACUCAUCUAGGGUUCUGAUUAUCACCAUCAGCUGCAGACAAAUUCACUAACAGACCCACCAGCCGCUUUACCUGUAAGUGAAGCGCGGUGAAGCUGCAGCAGAGCAAGAAAGCUUUUUGUUACCAUCUAAUAAAACAUUUACCAGCUAAUUCUAUUCCUUCUCUCAUACUGCUAAAAUUUUAUUCAAUACAUCACACUUAUGUCAAACCGUAAUGAAAAUCUUUAAACAUUUAUGAUUCUGUUUAGUUAAUUUCUUAUUGUGAUAAUUUUAGAAGUAAUGAAGAAUUCCAUUAUAAAUAGAAUAAACACUGAUCGGGCAUAACAUUAUGACCAGUGAGAGGUGAAGUGAAUAAGACUGAUGAUCUCCUCAUCAUGGCACCUGUUAGUGGGUGGGAUAUAUUAGGCAGCAAGUCAACAUUUUGUCCUCAAAGUUGAUGUUAGAAGCAGGAAAAAUGGACAAGUGUAAGGAUUUGAGAGAGUUUGACCAAAAGGGCCAAAUUGUGAUGGCGGAUAGACGACUGGAUCAGAGCAUCUCCAAAACUGCAGCUCUUGUGGGGUGUUCCCGGUCUGCAGUGGUCAGUAUCUAUCAAAAGUGGUCCAAGGAAGGAACAGUGGUGAACUGGAGACAGGGUCAUUUACGGCCGAGGCUCAAUGAUGCACGUGGGGAGAGAAGGCUGGCCCGUGUGAUCCGAUCCAACAGACGAGCUACUGUUGCUCAGAUUUCUGAAGAAGUUAAUGCUGGUUCUGAUAGAAAGGGGUCAGAAUACACAGUCAGGGCUGUUUUGGCAACCAAAGGGGGACCAACACAACAUUAAUGGUCAUAAUGUUAUGCCUGGUUGCUGUAUAUUCUUUAUUUUAAAUACCCAAGUGGAGAAAUAAUGUGCAGCUUGAAUAACUGUGUAAGUAAUGUGGUGCAGAUACGACCACUAUACUGAGAAAGCUGAAACAGAUGAGAUGUGAAACUCGAGUGUUGUGUGAGAAUCCAGACGUGUGUUUUUGCUUUGCUUUGUUGUUGUUUUUUCACACUUAAAAACCACAGAACUUUUCCUGGCACUCGGCUCUCUUCACACGCUUUCAGCAUGUUUCUGCCAAGUGGCAAAUAAACACAAAGACAUUUAGCUGGUACAGUACAGGAUUUGGUGAUCUUCUGACCGCUGAGUUCUCUCAGGGCAGCAGUGAAAACUCGCAGGUUUACAGGAUAAAGGUUUCCACAAGAAUGGCAAAGAAAGUUCUAGAACAAAGCCCGAAAGCACUAGGGACUGUCCAAAUCAUCAUCGGAGUUGUUGUUUUCAUGUUCAGUAUUGUUUUAAACACGAUUGCUGACUCUGUCAUCCAUAUCAAAAGUGUCAGCAGCAGUGUCAUGUACUGGGGACCUUUAAGCUUUAUCAUCUCUGGUGUUCUGUCCAUUAUUUCCCUGGGCAACCAAAAUCCCUCUGUGGUGAAAACAUCACUGGCUAUGAAUGUGAUCAGUUUUGUGACUGCCAUUGUAGCUGCCUGCAUGUUCAACAUUGAUGGGAAGAAGUCUCCAGACUCAAUAUGUUCAUCUACAUAUUGUAAGAGGGAUCUGGCAAUAGUUUAUUGUCAAUUCUUUUGGAAACAUGUUAUUGGAAACAGCGGAGUGCUUCGGGGCUUCUCUAUUCUCCAGGUCUUUGCCUCCAUUGCAACAAUUGUACUGACAUGGAUAAACAGGCGCUCCACUGGAACCGCGGAGAAAAUAAACAAGAACAAAAAUGGCAUCCUCUUUUCUACUGUUUCCAACACAAACAAGUCUCCAGACUUACACAAUCAGGAAGAGAGAAACAUUCUGCCAAUUAGUACUUUAGUGAACAACUACAAAUCCCCUAAAGGUAGCAACAGCACUUGUACUGAAUAAAAGGGAUUACACUUUGGGAUAUAAAACAGACAAAAAAUAAACCUAGUAAUUUUAAGUAUAUUUGAAACAUUUUAAAAGUGUAGCGCGUGUAGGGCUCUGAUGUUGUGUUGUUUUGCUAUAUUUUAUGCCUUCCGUUUUCCAAACAAAUGUUAUAUAUGGUGCAUUAAAUGUAUACGUUUUUUGUUGUAUGUAUUAUUUAUUUAUUUAUUUAUUUUAUUAAGAUGUUUUGUUUAAUUAAAGGGUUCCAGUCCCUGGCAUCAUGCAGCUGUUCCAGUUCCAGUGAAAUUUCACUAAAUGCACUUAAAAAAACAAAACAAAAAACAAACCCUGUGUUAAGAUUGUGUUAAGGCUGUGCAUAUUAACUCACUUUUGUUAAUGUUGGCUGAAUAAACUAUUUAAAUGUAUUUUUUAGCGAAGUUUACGUAAUUAUCAGGAGUAGUAUAAACCGUGCACUGCUGCAUCGUGUACAGCAGCACGGUGGCUUAGUGGUUAGCACAGUUGCCUCACAGCAAGAGAAUCCUGGGUUUGACAUCUAAUUAUCAAAUUUAAUUAUAUUAAAUAUAAUUAAGUAAAUUUUACUCAAUUUAUUUAUGAGCAUCAAGUUAAAUAUUAAGUAGAUUUUACCUAAUAAUGACGGGUGAAUUGUACUUAAUUUUAGAACAGUAAAAUUUAAUUAAAAUCUGUGUGUGCAAAUUGUUACGAGGAUUUUAAUAAGUAAAUCUUACAAGUUUGUUUUUUCAGUGCAUGCUCUUAUUGGCUAAUCUAAGUACCAUAAUGUAAUUAGAUUUAUAACUCCGUUUAGAAUUCAACUUUCAUUUAUCACACACCCAUUGAGGCUAAUUGGAAAAAAGGCUUCAGUUUGCUAGUGAGCAUAAAGAUUGGACUCUGAAGGAAUGGAUAACGGUCAUGUGGUCAGAUGAGUCCAGAUUUUUCCUGUUCCAGAGUGAUAGGUGCAUCAGGGUGAGAAGAGAGGCCGGAUGAAGUGAUGUACCCAUCAUUCCUAGUGCCUACUGUGCCUACAAGCCUGGGGGGGGGCAGUGUGGUGAUCUGGGGUUGCUUCAGUUGCUCAGUCUAGGGUCAGUAACGUUAUGUGCUCAAAAAUGAGGUCAGCUGACUACAUAAAUAUAUGUUCAAAUGAAUGAGCAGUUUUUUCAUCAGUGGAUUUUUUUUCUUCUCUGAUGGCACGGAUAUAUUCUAAGACAUCAAUACCAGGAUUCAUCAGGCUCAAAUUGUGAAUGAGUGGCUCAGAUAACAUCAUGUGGAUUGGCCUCCACAGAAUCCAAACUUUAACCCCAUUAAGAAUCUUUGAGGUUUGCUGGACAAGAGUUUACCCAGAGGUCCGACUCUCUCAUCAUCAGUGAAAGAUCUUGGCAAGAAGUGAAUGCAACUCUGGACAGAAAUAAGUGUUGUAACAUUGCAUAAGCUUAUAGAAAUGAUGACAUGGCAAAAGCGUGCUGUAAUCAAAGAAAAGGGAGGUUUUUGCUUUUUUACACAACCCUUGUAUUUUACCCAAGCUAACCAGCGCUGAGAGUUAACCCCUCAGUGGCUGUGUUGGUAUGUGUGCUGUGCUGUGAGAGCUGAAAUCUGAACCUAUUGCACAAGUCUUGUGGUGAACAUGCGUAACAAAAGGUAUUCCAAUCUAUGGUCUAUAUAAUCAGUCAGUUACCAACAAAACUACCAACACGAGCAUCAGUGACUUCCUGUGAGAGAAGAGCAGUGAAGCUGCAGCACCGAAAAGUCCCAGGUUACCAGGUCUACUGGAUCUCAGCAUCUCUCAGUGAAAAUGCCUCUACCUUCUCUGAAAACAGACCCCAAAUCACUCGGGAUUGUCCAGAUAAUGAAUGGAGCCGUGAUUCUCUUAUUUGGGGUUGUAUUAAGAAAUUCUGACCCUUUGAGUGUCCGCUCCGGGGCCGUGUACUGGGGCUCUCUUUGCUUUCUCAGUGCUGGUUCUCUGUCAGUUGCUGUCAUGGAUCAUCGUACUUCCUUAGUGAUGAAAUCCUCGCUGGUGAUGAACCUCCUCAGCGCUGUGGCUGCAGUUUUAACCGUCAUUAUGUUUUGUGUUGAUCUGGUGCACUUGUCUGUAGACCUCCAACCGUGUUACGAUGUGAACAACAAGGACUGUCUCUUAAUCAUCAUGCUGGUGAUUAUACGAAACGUGUUCAGAAUACUGCUGCUUUUCUCUGUACUUGAAGUCUGCAUGGCCAUUUGGACAUUUGUACUGGUCUGGAAAUCCAGAAACACCCCCGAAGCUAUGGCCACACCCUAAGUAAAGGAUUGAUGAUCCACGUGAGGAUAACAUCGACUCGACUUAACGCAUCUUUAGAGCUUUUUUCUUUUCUGCAUGAUUUCAUUUAUAUAAACCUAAGGCAUGAAAUAAUGAAUUUUUACUGAAGUACCAAAUGAUACUUUACUGAUUUAAAAUUUCAGUAGUGAAUAAUUCUUGUGCAUCACUUAGCAGGUAUCAAACAUCUUGAAUUUAUUGAUUUUUAAAAUAAAAUAAAUAAAGCACACCACAAGGAUGCUGCUGGAUUGAGAUGGGUCAGAAGGUGUUGAUUCAUUUUCUAUCACAGCAGGUUUAUAUUAAUUAAUGCGCUCAUUAUCGUUUCUAUGGUAACAGUGGAAAAAUGUAUUGUUUAUUGAAAUGGUUCAUAUGUAAGAGAGACAAAAGAGUAAGGAAUGUUUACAGCUGCUGUAAUAUGAGAACGCUGAUUAAGUAUAAUUAAACAUAUGGGACAAAGAUAAGAAUAAUGAUGUAAGUUAAGUAGCCAUUAUUUGUCAUAUAUACAUUUCUGCACAAUGAAAUUCUUUCUUCAUAUAUCCCAUCCUUGGAGGUUUGGGGUCGUAGAUGUAAAUAAGCAUCCAAAAGGUUAUGUUUUUUUUGUACAGCAGGCCUCAGGGUGUUUCCUGUUUUAUGCAGCGCUCAGGAAGUGGUUUUAAUGGUUCUUCACGCUACACCAUGAGCAGUAGCUAUCACAAAGUGAUUUUUCAAGCUAAAUGUUUAGUCUGAACCAAUAAAAGCUUCAUUUCCUCACAA